rnacentral:rRNA from 1 species
UUGGGAGCUCUCCCAUAUGGUCGACCUGCAGGCGGCCGCGAAUUCACUAGUGAUUCGUAUUACCGCGGCUGCUGGCACGGAGUUAGCCGGAGCUUAUUCUCCCGGUACUGUCAUUAUCAUCCCGGGUAAAAGAGCUUUACGACCCUAAGGCCUUCAUCACUCACGCGGCAUUGCUGGAUCAGGCUUGCGCCCAUUGUCCAAUAUUCCCCACUGCUGCCUCCCGUAGGAGUCUGGGCCGUGUCUCAGUCCCAGUGUGGCUGAUCAUCCUCUCAGACCAGCUAAGGAUCGUCGGCUUGGUAGGCCUUUACCCCACCAACUACCUAAUCCUACGCGGGCUCAUCCCUGGCCGAUAAAUCUUUGGUCCGAAGACAUCAUCCGGUAUUAGCAGUCAUUUCUAACUGUUAUUCCGAAGCCAAGGGCAGAUUCCCACGCGUUACGCACCCGUGCGCCACUAACCCCGAAGGGUUCGUUUGACUUGCAUGUGUUAGGCAUGCCGCCAGCGUUCGUUCUGAGCCAUGAUCAAACUCUAAUCGAAUUCCCGCGGCCGCCAUGGCGGCCGGGAGCAUGCGACGUCGGGCCCAAU